rnacentral:rRNA from 1 species
UACGUAGGGGGCUAGCGUUGUCCGGAUUUAUUGGGCGUAAAGAGCGUGUAGGCGGCCAUGUAGGUCCGGUGUGAAAACUCGAGGCUUAACCUCGAGAUGUCAUCGGAAACCAUUUGGCUAGAGUCCGGAAGAGGAGAGUGGAAUUCCUGGUGUAGCGGUGAAAUGCGCAGAUAUCAGGAAGAACACCAAUGGCGAAAGCCGCUCUCUGGGACGGUACUGACGCUGAGACGCGAAAGCGUGGGGAGCGAACAGG